GCGCCCUGUGUCAGACGGAGAAGUCGGCUCAAAAAAAGUCAUGUAAUUAAGCAGGUGUAGUAAUGAGGGACAGUCGCUUUUGUGACACAGUUGAUGACGUGCAGGUCUACAUACCAGUAGGUUCAGGGUCGACUGACAAGCUAACAGCUCUCCCUGCCUGUUUCAUUCGACCUACACUAUGAUCAGAGCCGGCUGCAGACAAUGAUCAGCAGUAUGUGGAGUCCAGACAGUGGUCCUAAACUGCUGAAGGAGAUGGGGAUGCAGGAGGGUGUUACUGACAGGCCAUGUCUACCCAGAGGAGUACAAGCAGCUGUUUGAACUGGUGGAGUGGUUCCAGGAGUUCAUUCAGAGCUGGCUGUAUGAGGUACUGGAGAACACCCAUAAAGAGGGCUGGCAUUAGACACACAGCGGCACCUCCAGGACUGGAGGGAUAGUGCAGCCGGGAACUGGGCUGAAAAAACAGAGGCUGCUUGAAGCUACAGAUUCUAGAGGAAUCUAAACCCCUGAGAUGUUGGACUAGUGAAUCACACCUCAUGUCAUGGUUUAGGAUUGUCCUGGGCGGAUGUUGAGAUGUGACACGUUUGGUAUUUGACCUUUUGUAAAAGGGGCUAUGUGUAGAGAUGCGUGUUUAAAAGCCACUAGGUGUCUAAAAGUUGGCCGGUGACAGGCAGCAGAGCCUACACCAUAUAGGCCAUUUUCUCAAGAGUUGAUUAUGGAUAGCAGCAGAAAGGUGACUUUAUUGGCAAAGCGAGGUUGUAACGAGUCAAGAUGUGUUCGAACCGUUCGAUCACAUUUUGUCACACUGUGUUAUCCACAGGUUUUUACUGUAGGUUUUUUGCUAACGCAGCACAUGAAAUCAACUGGUUCAUAAUAAUGUGUGAUGAAUGGUACCUACUGCUUGAAUAAUUUAGUGUACAUAUGUAGCGUGUUUGCAUGUCGGCACAGUUCAUUCAAUAACAUACACAGUUUGUGGGUAUUUGAGCCUCUUCUGAAUGGUAAUGAACAGUAUCAUUUUGUGGUCACUGGUUGUCAUAUAUGCCUGUAGUGUUUCCGAUGGAUAAAGAUAGUAUUAGUGUUGUUCUCGUGUGCGCUAAGUGCAUUUCAAUUGUCAUAUUGAAUUGUUUCAUUCCAUAAGCAUUGGAGGAAAUGUGAUUGUAUCAAAAUAAAUAUUUUGUCAAUGUUGACAAGGGUGUAUUAUUGAAAAAUUCUCAAUAUUGUAUUUCAAUAUUUCCAUAUUUUAUUCCGAUUGUGCAUUGUGUCUUACAAAUCAUCAAAUAAAAUGUUAUUGGUCACA